rnacentral:rRNA from 1 species
UACGUAGGGUGCGAGCGUUAAUCGGAAUUACUGGGCGUAAAGCGUGCGCAGGCGGUUCGUUAUGUCCGUUGUGAAAGCCCCGGGCUCAACCUGGGAAUGGCAAUGGAAACUGGCGAGCUAGAGUGUGGCAGAGGGGGGUGGAAUUCCGCGUGUAGCAGUGAAAUGCGUAGAGAUGCGGAGGAACACCGAUGGCGAAGGCAGCCCCCUGGGCUGACACUGACGCUCAGGCACGAGAGCGUGGGGAGCAAACAGG